CGGGUACUUCGAGGCGGCUGCGGUUAGCAGAAUCCGCGCUAGGCCGUUGAUUCGUAACGAUAUCCUCACUGCUUUGGGAGCAGUGGGUCGCACGUUCGAAUCGUGUCACCCCGACCA
rnacentral:tRNA from 1 species